rnacentral:misc_RNA from 1 species
GAGUGUGAGACUGAAUAUGGGGUUUUAAUGGCAAUUUCACUGAUACUUUUUCUUAUGAUGCUGUGCUUUUCUGGUGCUUACUAACUAUUGUAAUGGUAUACUUCUGACCAGUCACUGCAUAACUGUAAUUUUACGUAAAAGUUAGAUGUUCAAAAGUGAAACAUUGAUGCAGAUGUUGUGGCAUGCCAAAAUAAAAACUUCAUUGACCUAUGGGCAUUAGUUUGUGGAAUUUUAUAACUGC